GACGUAGGGGGCCAGCGUUGUUCGGAAUUACUGGGUGUAAAGGGUUCGUAGGCGGUCCUUUAAGUCUGAUGUGAAAGCCCACGGCUCAACCGUGGAGGGUCAUUGGAAACUGGGGGACUUGAGUGCAGGAGAGAAGAGUGGAAUUCCACGUGUAGCGGUGAAAUGCGCAGAUAUCAGGAAGAACACCCGUGGCGCAGGCGGUUCUCUGGGACGGUACUGACGCUGAGACGCGAAAGCGUGGGGAGCGAACAGG
rnacentral:rRNA from 1 species